rnacentral:rRNA from 1 species
CACAAUGGGCGCAAGCCUGAUGCAGCCAUGCCGCGUGUGUGAAGAAGGCCUUCGGGUUGUAAAGCACUUUCAGCGGGGAGGAAGGCGGUGAGGUUAAUAACCUCACCGAUUGACGUUACCCGCAGAAGAAGCACCGGCUAACUCCGUGCCAGCAGCCGCGGUAAUACGGAGGGUGCAAGCGUUAAUCGGAAUUACUGGGCGUAAAGCGCAC